UUGUACACAGAAUAUACAAAACGUUUGUUCACCAAACAGAAGAGAUGUGAGCAGCCCCACCCCCAGCUCCUGGGACAACAGUAUGAAGUAGGGGGACCCGGGAUACUGCAUGAUCAUCCUGAGCAGAGCCAACAGGGCCACCAUCCAACCUCUGAAGUGACGGACUUAGAGCAAAGGCCAGGAAAGAGGCUGCUCCUUCCCAGGCUAUCUGAAGCUGAGAGAGGACAACCUCUCUCCACAGGAGGGCUUGGACAUGCACACAAGCAUCCUGCAAGUGAGUCUCCUCUACCUGGUUCACACUACCCAGGAGGAACAUUCUCAAUCAGCCUCCCACACCCCUACCUGCCCUCUACCCUUAACUAGACAACUCCAGUGAAGGCCACAGUCCAAGUUCUCCCAAGUUCCUGACCUUUGGCCUCUGGAGCCAUUGACCCUGGUGCUUUCCCACGUGGCCCUGAGGAGCCUCCUGCUUCUGAGACCUCUUACAGGCCCUGGGAAGCAGAUCUGCAACUGGCCCACAUGCUUGUUUCAUUAAGAAGCAAAGUAAGGACUCAGUCGAAAGACUUACCAUUUCUAUACCACUGGACCUCCGGCUGGAAGUGUUUAAUUUCAGGAGUGAUGACUACACGACAGCCCAGACUCAUCGUCUCUCCUUCUCUCCCAAAAGACACAUCAAACUUGUCAUCAAAGUGGAUCUCAAACUUGGAUGCAUAACCAUAAGGGGUCACAGCAACUGGGCACAACAGAAACAAAUACCAGUGAUAUGUCUCUCCAAAGGGAUGCACAAUUUUUAAUAAGCAUGGGCAGAAAGCAGCAGCAAAAAAAUAGACCAAAUUAUGUGGGCAAAAUCAAGUUGUACAUAAGAAAUACAUGUAUGCAUACAUCAUA